GGCCCGUGGAACAGGGAUUCCCGCCGGCGCGUGUGCGGGCUCUCGGGCAGGAAGGCCCAGCCUUCGCGGCCCGCCAGGGCCGAGAGGGUCCAAAUCCCGUCUCAGAUGGGAGUGCUCGGCGGAGCGGGGCUGGGCGAGGAGCGCAGUCCUUCCUUCUGGGAGUGUUUGAAUGAAGAUUAGACUCUCCUUGACCAUGAAUGAAGAGCAACCAGUUUUUUAGUAUACAGUGAUUUAGACUCUGGGUCUAGAGUGUAGAUAUCAUGGGCACUGUGAAAGCACAGAAGGAGAAAAGGUUUUUAUGUUGGUGGGGCUUUGUGUCUGAAUUCUGGCCAAUGGAACCACGUGGAGGCCUGGCCCAGAACAUCUCCCUGUGGAUUCUCUCAUCUGGCAACUGGAUGCCUACACGAAGGGUGAUUUUGGAGUCAUGUGUUGGAGAUCACAAAGCUUUUGUCAGCCAGGUUCCUGAAUGACUGCUAGACACCAUGGGCUGAACUUUAUGUGAAGGAAAACACCUGCAAGAGAAGGGUGAGUUGAGCUGCAAGAGCUGCACUGAGAUGGCUGGAGCUUGAUGGACACUCUGAGCAUUUGGCUGCAAAUUACCCAUUACCUGGGUCCUGUCCUUUCGUUACAGGAGCUCCAGCACCACCUCCAGCCUUCAGUGACUGUCUGGAGCAGGCAUCCGGAUGGAAGAGAAGGGGGACAACCAUGAACUUGGUGACCCACGGUCAGCCUGAUUUCCCUUGUGGACACAUUUAUGCCCAGUGUGCAUUCCUCCUGAGGUCUGU
rnacentral:lncRNA from 10 species